rnacentral:rRNA from 1 species
AACGAACGCUGGCGGCAUGCCUAACACAUGCAAGUCGAACGAGACCUUCGGGUCUAGUGGCGCACGGGUGCGUAACGCGUGGGAAUCUGCCCUUCGGUUGGGAAUAACUGAGAGAAAUUUCAGCUAAUACCUUAUAAUGUCUUCGGACCAAAGAUUUAUCGCCGAGGGAUGAGCCCGCGUAGGAUUAGGUAGUUGGUGGGGUAAUGGCCUACCAAGCCGACGAUUCUUAGCUGGUCUGAGAGGAUGAUCAGCCACACUGGGACUGAGACACGGCCCAGACUCCUACGGGAGGCAGCAGUGGGGAAUAUUGGACAAUGGGCGAAAGCCUGAUCCAGCAAUGCCGCGUGAGUGAUGAAGGCCUUAGGGUUGUAAAGCUCUUUUACCCGGGAUGAUAAUGACAGUACCGGGAGAAUAAGCUCCGGCUAACUCCGUG